rnacentral:rRNA from 1 species
GAUGAACGCUGGCGGCGUGCCUAAUACAUGCAAGUCGAGCGAACAGACGAGGAGCUUGCUCCUCUGACGUUAGCGGCGGACGGGUGAGUAACACGUGGAUAACCUACCUAUAAGACUGGGAUAACUUCGGGAAACCGGAGCUAAUACCGGAUAAUAUAUUGAACCGCAUGGUUCAAUAGUGAAAGACGGUUUUGCUGUCACUUAUAGAUGGAUCCGCGCCGCAUUAGCUAGUUGGUAAGGUAACGGCUUACCAAGGCGACGAUGCGUAGCCGACCUGAGAGGGUGAUAGGCCACACUGGAACUGAGACACGGUCCAGACUCCUACGGGAGGCAGCAGUAGGGAAUCUUCCGCAAUGGGCGAAAGCUUGACGGAGCAACGCCGCGUGAGUGAUGAAGGUCUUCGGAUCGUAAAACUCUGUUAUUAGGGAAGAACAAAUGUGUAAGUAACUAUGCACGUCUUGACGGUACCUAAUCAGAAAGCCACGGCUAACUACGUG